UGAAUCAAUAAAUAAUGUUAAUAAGUCAUCUUCUAUAGCGCACAGUCUCCAAACACCAAGUGAUUGCUCGCGGCGCUUUAUCAGAAUCUGAUUAAUAUUACCCCGAUAACCCAAGCUGCCUGAUAGGCGCUAGAAGGUUAUAGUCACAUGACUUUUUCAAC